CGUAUAUUAAAGUUGUUGCAGUUAAAAAGCUCGUAGUUGGAUUUGUGGUGUUUGGCUGAGUCCCAGCAUUGUCUGGGUGCUCGUGUUGAAUGCCAUCCUUGGGUGGAAGCAGUGUGGCAUUAGGUUGUCGUGCUGUGGAUGCCCAUCGUUUACUGUGAAAAAAUCAGCGCGUUCAAAGCAGGCUUAUGCCGUUGAAUGUAUUAGCAUGGAAUAAUAAGAUAGGACCUUGGUACUAUUUUGUUGGUUUGCGCACCGAGGUAAUGAUUAAUAGGGACAGUUGGGGG
rnacentral:rRNA from 1 species